rnacentral:tRNA from 1 species
GCUCAAAUAGCUCAGUUGGUUUGGGUGUGGUGCUGACAACACCAAGGUUGCAGGUUUGAUCCCCAUAAGGGACA